GGGGAAUAUUGGACAAUGGGCGAAAGCCUGAUCCAGCAAUGCCGCGUGAGUGAUGAAGGCCUUAGGGUUGUAAAGCUCUUUUACCCGGGAUGAUAAUGACAGUACCGGGAGAAUAAGCCCCGGCUAACUUCGUGCCAGCAGCCGCGGUAAGACGAAGGGGGCUAGCGUUGUUCGGAAUUACUGGGCGUAAAGCGAGUGUAGGUGGUUGUCCAAGUUGGAUGUGAAAGCCUUGAGCUCAACUCAAGAAAUGCAUUCAGGACUGGAUGACUAGAGGACCGGAGAGGAUAGUGGAAUUCCCAGUGUAGUGGUGAAAUACGUAGAGAUUGGGAAGAACACCAGUGGCGAAGGCGGCUAUCUGGACGGUUUCUGACACUAAGACUCGAAAGCGUGGGGAGCAAA
rnacentral:rRNA from 1 species